rnacentral:lncRNA from 1 species
UACAUUCUCAUGGAGCCAAACCCUUGGUCCUGCCAUGCAGUUUUAGGCUGAAUGAGGCAAGGGCAUGCUGUUUUCCCUCUGGGGUUUGGGGUUUAGGUGCCACGUAUUAACUCGUGGGAAGCUUGGCAAGACCCAUCCUUGGGGUUCAUCUCUUCUGGCUCCCACAGAGGCAGGCAGGCGGGUGAAGGCAGCAGAGGGUUCAGAUGUUUGUCUAUCCUCCUCCACUGCCAGGAAGUUAGGGUAAGACUAAAGGACUUAGUCUCAGGAUCUGAGGCACACAGUGGGCCUGCUGGGUCCCCGUGAGCGUUAAUGGCCAGACACAAACUCCUCCUGUCCUUGUACCUGGUGCCCGGAUGACCAGUUUGCUCUCUUCAAGCACUUUGAAGAAGUAGCUGAGAAUGGCAAUAAACUGAUUCCGGUCCUCUGUCUCUGUGAAGGGCUAGACAGGCAGCAUCUCAGUGCCUUUAUGGGCUAUUUCUGCAGAAGGACAGCAGGCAGACCCAGAUAAAGAGCCCACAUGCCCGCAGCCCAUUGCCUACCACUGCAGACAUCGCCAUGGCCUGAAUGCUGCCCCUUGGGCUUCUGCUCUUGCCAAGCCCACUGUUCCCCACACUCUAGUCACACCGAUGCUACCCUAAGCACCAACCCCAGAUGCCUCCAUAGCUUUGUGGAUGCCACUCAUCAGCCUGGAAUGUCCCCUCACAUGCAUCUACAGGGUCCCCUCAUCUCCCAGAUCCAGCCCUUGUGACACUGCAUUGCAUGUCUUUGUUUAUGGAUUAAAUGUAGGGACAGUGUCUUGUUCAUACCGUAUCCCCAGAACCUGGCACAGGGACUGGAAGAGAGUGGAUGCAAGGUCAAUGUCAGUUAAAAGAUGGAAGAGCAGGAAAGACCAGGCCCUCAGGCUAAUGCAGUUACAUGUAUUUUAUUAGGACUUAGGUCUUUUUAUAGAGCAUCUUCAGCUCCUCCAUACUUCAAACAUCUCUAUGCAUUUUUAUUUGCUCCCGUUUUUUCACUAGUAUUGAAUUCAGUAAACCUAGCAAGUAACCAUAUCUAGGUGGUGUGGGAGUAUGCAACACUCCAAAGUACAUUACAGCUGCAAAGUUGGAAGCUUAAAAUGCCUCCUCAACAUCACUGACAAACAGAACACAUAGAUAGAGGGAACCUUUCCUAUUUCCCCUAGCCAUGCCUUGGCUUUCUGACGAAACUUGACUCCUAGUAAGUUUUAUUUAUUUAUUUUCCUUUAAGAGCUAAUAUUUAUUGUACCCUUAGUAUACCUAGAAACUGUUUUAGGCUCUUUUCCCCCAUGUAUUAAUUCAUAUAAUCUGUUCAACAACCCUGUGAAAUAAGUACAAUUAUUAUACCUAUUUUACAGAUGAGGAAACUGAGGACCAGAGAAAACAACUAGUUUUCCAGAGCUCUCACCAUUGAGAUGAUGCCUGCAACAUCUUCGACAUUCUACACAUGGGAGUUGGGUUCUAAUUCCCUCCCUUGAUCCGGGAUCGCCUUACUGACUCGCUUGGCCAGUAGCACGCAGUGGAAGUCAAUGUCUGGAACUUUCAAGGUAGGUCAUACAUGACUUUGAAGCUUCCACCCGGGUCUCUUGGGAUCCUCCCUCUGAGCCACCUCGUAGAAAGUUUGACUAACCUAUUUAUAGCAACAUACUGGAGAAGCCAUUCACAUCAGUAGUUCUAAAUGAGUCUGGCCCCCCAGCCAUCAAGGCACCAGAAAUGUAAGCAAAGCCAGCUUCGACCCUCCAAACUAGACCAUUUACCAUCUGAUGCCAUCGAAUGACCUUCAUGGAGACCAUAGAAGACAUGAAUUGCCUAGCUGAUCCCUUCACAAAUUACCAGCCCACAAAGUUGGGGGAUAAAAUACAAUGGUUACUGUUUCAAGUUGUAAAAUGUUGAGAUGGUUUGUUGUGCAGUGGUAGAUAACUGGAACUUCAUUAUUUUUUCUUUCUCUCUUUCUCUCUCUCUCUUUCUUUCUUUCUAACUGAUACAAGUUUUUGAUAUCAUCACAAGGGAUACAGUCAUGAGCAAAACAUAUUCAACCUUGCCCUCAGGGGCUCUGGCAUUAAACAAUAAUACAAAUAAAUAUAUUCUUUAAAAGGUAUAAGUCAUCAGUGCUGCCAAAGUAAAAAGUGCCAAGAGAAACAUUAAUGGGGAGUCAAAUUAGGUUUCCGUAAGGCAGUAAUAGUUGAGCUGAGACUUGAAGGAUUUAGUUGGAUAUAGGACUGGGGAAAGGGGUAGGAGAGCAUUCUGGGCUGAGGGAAGAGCUGGUAUGAUGGUCCUAAAGGCUGGAAGUUGCUCGAUGCUUUGGGGCCCAUGUGGCUGGAGUAGAGUGAGGAGAAGUAGCCAGAAAUGAGGCUUGACGUGAGGGACAUGUGGCUGACUCUGGUGCACAACUCUCCAUGCUGCAUUGAAAGAGCUCCACAUCUGUGUUCCCUACCACAUGGGAGCUCCUUGAGGCCCUGUUCCAAAGUUUUAAGUGAUACCUCAUUCUAGAACAACAACAAAAAAUACACAUAUUAAAGUAACAUUAACCAGUUCCUUCAGGAUCUGCCCCAUGUCUAACUCUGUGGCCUUGUUCCCAGACAUCUCCCUUCCAACUCUUGGCGCUUCUGCUAUCCAGAACCACAUCAGCUUCCUGAACAGACCAAUGUCCACCUGCACCUGGGCCUCUGCAUGUCUCUUUCCUCUGCCUCAAGAGUGGAUCCACACCUUCCUUCUUCUAAGUGUAAUUAAAGAGGCCCUUUGUGCCGCCUUCAGAUUUUUUUUUCUUGUCCCAACUUUUCCUGUGCUCUUGUCUCCGUGGAACUAUUCAUACAGGUCAGUAUCAUUUUCCUUCUAGAAAAUGAGUCCAUUGGAAAGCCUCCCGGUUAGCCAUAAAACUUGAGAUCCCAGGGAAAGAUGUGGUCUUUCUUGCUGGAGACUGACUCAGAGAUUAUUUUCAUGAAGCCAAGGAGUUUAAGCUCAGAGCCCCUCCCUUGUUUAAAUCCCCUCAAGGACCUGAGGGUAAGAACCCUAGUAUUGUGUCCUAGGGGCGAUAUAUUUUA